rnacentral:lncRNA from 1 species
AUGUACCCGAAAUGCAAAAAGGAGGAGAAACGGGACUCUCCUUUUGAAGCGGGGCCGGCCAUCCGGGAAGAAAACGCAGCCUGCGUCCACCUGCUUGGUCCCGACCACUCCGCAGACUCGAGCCUCUACCCAGCCGGGGCCUGGGGCCUGGAGCCUGGCCCGGAGAGGUGCAGGCCUCCCCGCCCGGUCGCCAAAGCGGCUGGAGAAUUCCGCAAACCGUUUCCUCCGCAGCGUGUCCCUGUCCCUCAGCUCCACCGCGUGACCCUGAGAGCGACAGGCUGCGUGAGAAUCCCGCCACCCCGCGCUGUGCUGGGCUGCGGAGGGUGCCGUGGGAGGUGGCGCCCUGGGCCCUGGCCGAGAAAGGCUUGUUUUUUAUUCCUGCGCCCCAGGGACGCAUGUCCGAGGCCGCGCCGCCCUCUCGAGACCCACCAUCGGAUUCUCCUGUGGGCUUCCUCCCUUCCUGGGACCGAAGAUCCGGGCCCGGGGAAGAAAGUGCGCGGUUCCCUCACUUUUUCUGCCGGCUACCGGAUCCCCCCCCCGGCCCCCCUCCAGAAAUUAUGGGAAAGGGGCGCCGGGCGGGCCCUGUCCCUCCCCACGCAAGGACCGCCCGGGGCCGCGGAUUCGCUCCCGCGAGUUUGCGGCAGAGACUCGAGAGCAGCGCUCCACCCGCCGCGACCUGGCACCGCGCCACCGCUCCCGGGACCCCGCCCGCCCAGCAGCAGAAAGUUUCCUCCUGGACACGCACGUUCCCGACUCAGGCCCCGGGGCCCCAUCGCCUGCCCGAGACCAGAUGCGCAUUUCUCACAUCAAUUUUGCGGAGAAAGAGAGCCGCGCGGCCCGGAGGCGGGACCCUCCUUUGGUGACAGCGGCCACUCGCCAGCCCAGCGACAACAAAAGCCCAGAGAGAAACCCGCUCUGUCCGGAAAAGUGAAAGCCGCCUGCGUCCCUGCCCCAGCCGCCCUCGGGGCGCGGGGACCCCAGAGAGUCCUGGGGAGAUUGAUGUCUCUGCCCCCAGCCAAGUUGGGGGGCCCAGAAUCUGUGAAUGUUACCAGAAAUUCACCCCAACUCUCAGACGCUUCGGGCUCACAUCUCCCUGUGCCCGUGUGCGCAAUUCAGCUUGCCCUUGGUGCCUUCGGCCUCAUUUUCCUCCCUCCCGCAAGGGUAAGGCCUUCCGGCGGCGGAACCCAAACUUGGAGCCCUCCGGCUGCACCCUGCUGCCGACUAAGCUCCACCUGCAGUACACCGGACGCUUAG